rnacentral:rRNA from 1 species
AUUGAACGCUGGCGGCAGGCCUAACACAUGCAAGUCGAACGAGUGGGGACGGGUGAGUAACAAGUGGGUAACCUCCCAUCAGAGGGGAUAACACUUGGAAACAGGUGCUAAACCGAUACUGAUGGAUGGACCCGCGGUGCAUUAGCUAGUGGGGGAGGUAACGGCUCACAAAGGCCACGAUGCAUAGCCGACCUGAGAGGGGUAUCGGCCCCACUGGGACUGAGACACGGCCCAGACUCCUACGGGAGGCAGCAUUAGGGAAUCUUCGGCAAUGGACGAAAGUCUGACCGAGCAACGCCGCGUGAGUGAAGAAGGUUUUCGGAUCGUAAACCUCUGUUGUUAGAGAAGCGGUAUCUAACCAGAAAGCCACGGCUAACUCCGUGCCAGCAGCCGCGGUAAUAC